ensembl:lncRNA
CUCCGACCUUUUUAUUGCAGCGCCCCGUGUACACAAACACCUCGUUUGACGCCGGGCGCCGUUCAGGAGGCGCUUUUUGAAAGGACGUGGUGAUUAGCGGAGCAACUAAUUAAGAUUCAUACUUCCUGUCUGGCUGAGGAUCUGCGAUGCGGAACAACUUCCUGUUGCCGGUCCCGACUCUGGUCCCGGCUCUGGUCCCGGCUCUGGUCCUGGCUCUGGUCCUGGUGGGCCCGGCCUGCGAAGCCUCUUCUCUGGGGCUGACGGUCCACGUCGUGCCCCUGGAGGCCGACGGAGGGAAGACGGUGCGCGCGCACUUCAGCGCCAUCGCCGCCGAUCCUUGCCCGUCUUUAUCCGGACUGUGCGCCGCGGGGGAGGACUGCCUGGUCCACAAGACCUCGCGGCCCUUCACCGGCACCAAACCCGGGUCCGGCUGGUGCGUCCGCCGGUGGCAGAAAACGGUCCCCAGUGAUUACAACGCCACCAUAAGUUUAGGGUCCAACACUAAAAUGUUCGUAUCAAUGAACGCAGGCCCAAAGGUUCGAGAGAACAGCGGAAAGCUCAACCAACCUCCUUAUGUUGGUCUGCCUCCUCCACUGAGGGCCCGAGUGAACUGCCCUCACCACGUCCACCUAUCGGUGAAGGACCCGGACGGUGACAGGGUCACGUGUCGCUUCGCCCGGCCCGACGAGGGCGAGUGUGUCAACUGCACCCGGCACCCGUUCAUAGAGCUGAAUGAGGAGAAAUGCAUGUUGACAUUCACUGGAAACGCGCCAGCAGGACAGUAUUUCAUCCACCUGAUGGCGGAGGACCGGAUUCCUGUGCCCAAAUCCAGACUAGUCACAGACAACAAACCCCUCAGCUCGGUCCCGGUGCACCUCUCUCUCACCGUGGAGGAGUCGAAGUCCAGCUGCCUCGAUGAGCCUGUGGCAUCGGGUGAGACCCCCGAGGAGGACACCACGCUGUUCAUGCUGCCCUUCCAGGAGGUCAAAUUCAACACUGACUUCACAUCACAGCGGCAGAGUGUUUUGGAGGUGGCGGUGGUCGGCCCCCCUGAACUCUUCAGGGUCUGUUUCAAGUCCAUCGGCAACCUGGCGUCCAUGACGAUGGCCUGGGUCCGCUCCGAAAACCGGCUGCCCCGGCUGCUGCCCGUCUGCUUCGCAGCAAAUACCGAGAGUUUGCAGUCGGAGCCUCGGUGUGUGUGGCUGUACCAAAUGCUGACGUGCGAGAAGACGGCGAUUACGCUGGUGCUGCCCGUCGCCUCCCUGAGCAACGUCAACCUGGCGGAGCUGCAGCUCAACAGCCCCGCCUGCCCCGUCAGCUACAACAGCACCCACCUGACGGCCUCCGCCCCCUUCACUGGCUGCGGCACCAAGAUUGUGCACUCUGGAUCAGAGCUGGUUUACACCAACACCUUGCACAGUGUGCGUCCCUUCACUAUGAUCAGCCGCCAGCCCUCCCUCGAGCUCCCUCUGGCCUGCCGGAUCCCCGGCGUCCUGGCCGAGGGGCCGCACUACGACAUCUUACUGCCCUCGCAGAAGGAGACCUUUGGCGCGAUCCGGCUCUGGAUCGAAGUUCACAAUCCAGGCGAGGGGCCCAUGGGGAACUUCACGCGCUCCCCUUCCUUUCUCUCCCUCAGGACGGCGUCGUCGUUGUCGGGCCGAGCGCGCCGAGAAGCAAAUUCCUUCAAUGCGAGCGGCUCCGUCGGGUCCCGGCUCUCCAUGUUGUACCUCCAAGUGUUGUCCAACAGCAGCAUCGAACGAGCCGAGAUGAUCGUGAGCAACUGCCUCGAGUCGGAGACGGCGGACUUCGCCACGUCCAACCCCAUCCUGGAGCAAGGGUGUUCAUCUUCCAACAGCACGUUAGAGGUCUUUACGUCAAGAAGCAACUCCAAGGUUUACCGCCUGGAUCUGAGCAACAUGAAGACCCAUGGGUCGACGAUGUUCGUCCGGUGCACCGUGAAUCUCUGCAUCGCCACCUUACCCUCUGAGAAGUGCCCGAGUCUGUGCGGCGCCAGUGACCACAGAAUGCUGGUGAACAGCUUGUUUACCAGACAAUACGAGAUCAACUCGGGGCCCGUCAGCCUGGUGGUGCAACCUACUGUACCGAUCAUACCAGCCGUCGGCACCACCACACCCGGCGGCACCACCACACCCGUCGGCACCACCACACCCGGCGGCACCACCACACCCGUCGGCACCACCACACCCGGCGGCACCACCACACCCGGCGGCACCACCACACCCGGCAGCGCCACCACACCCGGCGGCACCACCACACCCGGCGGCACCACCACACCCGGCGGCAUGACACCCGGUGGUGCCACCGGGUGUGGUGACGCCUGUAACGCCGGUGCCUACCCCUUAGGCUCACAUGCUCCAGAACGAGCCGUCGCGUCCAUGAGAGCAGCGGUGAUUUUAACAUUUAUCGGCAUUUUUCUUCAAAAACUCCUCCUUUACUGAGCGGUUAUGAUCUGUGUGAAUACGGAAGUAAAUAAAGCCGAGAGCACAUAAGAAAAAUACCAAAAAAUCAUAAGAUAAUUGUUGCAUUGUUCACAUUUGGAACAGCUAUAUAUAUCAAAAUCUUCAUAAUUGAAUAUCUCAAUAGACAGCUAUAAUAAUUUAAAAAUGUAUUUUGUCAUUAAUUGAAAAACUUAAGUGCAAAAUUAACAUUAACGGUUUUCAAGAUAUAUAAUAAUAACUAUAGAGUAAUUUUAAUGUAAAUUGAUUUAACUAUGCCGGUGUAUUCGCAUCAGCAGAAUUCUUAUCAAUUGAGAUGUUUUUCUUCAAAUUGCGGGCUUGCUCUCAUACAUUUUAUUCAUCACUACAUCUCAAAAUAUGUUUGAGAAAAUACUGUUUAUUGCAAAUAAAUCAACAAAUAUCUUUACAUUUUUAAGACCCUGAUUUAGUUCAAAUGGCUUCUUGUGUGUUCUUUACUCGCUUGGUGCUGGUUGUGUUAGAGUUAAGUGCACGUGCAGCUUGUCGUCUGUGUAUAUUAUUUCAUGAACAUUUAGUCUGCAUAUUAUUGGAUGUGACAAACUUGUGAGCAGGCAAUAACAAAUACACUGUUUUCAAAAUGUUUAUUACAAAAAUUGUGGAUAAAAUGUAUUUUAAUUUUUUUGGGGGGGGGAUUAUUCAAACAUUUAAUCGGACACUUUGACCCCCCUAAUGGUUCUGUGACGUGCAUCCCUCUUCACAUUAAAUCUAAAAGUCUAUUUUUCUAUUAUAAAAUGUUGAUGUGACAUAUAUAUAUAUAUAUAUAUUAAAAAAUUGCAAAUCUUUAUGUUUUGUUGAUUUUUUGGGGGUUACAAAGCUGUAAAGGCUGAUGUCAGUUAGAACAAAGCGCAAAUAACUGUGGUGCUAAACGAGGAAAGGGUUUCAUAGAUUAUAAUACAUUGUAAUUAUUUUAGAUAUAUUUAGUCAUUGACAUCUGGAUAUAUAUCCUACUAGUACGAAUAAUGAUAAUAAUGUUAAUAAUAGAGCACAACAAAUUUCACAUAAUACAACCAACAAUUUAAAAUGACUUAAAAACAAUAAUAAAAUUGACCACAUAAAUAAAAGUCCUCCACAAUCAAUAAAAAAAAAAAGUCUUACAGGUAAAAAUGGAAAGCAAAUAAAAGACAACUGUAUAUUAUGUCAAGAUAAAUGUAUAGAAUAAAGCCUCAUGAUGAAAACGUUAACAUAAAAGUCUGGUAGUUUGACUUCUGAAUUGAGAAUGUAACCAAAUCAAUCAAAAGGACAAUUGAACUAAUGAUUUUGCUAAAGUCAGAACUGCAUGUGCAGCAUGAGAAGCAGCGGCAUUUCAGCUUCAUGCGUGCACACUGAGAUUAGAUAUUGUCAGUAGCACCAUCAACAACAAUGAUAAAAGUGAAGCCGGCGGUUUAUUUAUAGUCCAACACAACCGUUAAGUUGUAAUAAUGUGUAACUGCUCUGCUUUCUAAAUGUUUUAAUGAAGGUUCGAGACCAGUAAUGUUCUAAAACAUUGUUGUUUACAAUGUUUAAAGGCUGUUGCAAAACACUGUCACUGUGUAAAAUGAAAAGGUACAAGCAAAAAAACAAAUCAAAUUAGUUGGAAGACUUCAUUUGAUGAACUAUCGUAUACCUUCCUGGACACAGACGUG